AACUUUCAGCAACGGAUGUCUUGGCUCCCACAACGAUGAAGAACGCAGCGAAAUGCGAUACGUAAUGCGAAUUGCAGAAUCACGCGAGUCAUCAAGUCUUUGAACGCACCUUGCGCUGCUGGUAACCCGGCAGCAUGUUUGUUGGAGUGUCUGUUGAAACCAAUCACCACCUCCUCGGAGCGUGGUGGACAGUUUGUGCCUUCGUCAGAUUAUGUGCUUCGGUGCAUCUGCAGACGUGGCAUUAAGUACAUGAGCAUACCUUCGGUCGGGCGCAUGCCUGAUAGACGUGACGAAAUAGUCUCUCAUAGAGCCUUACCCCCGUCUAUCUCUGAAGGUUAAUCUCCUUGGUUGAUGACAAGCAAGCUCCAUUGGCUUGGUUGCUGUCAACAUUGAUUCCUUUUAGGACCUCCAAUCAAGCAGGGCUACCCGCUGAAUUUAAGCAUAUAACUAAGCGGAGGAAAAGAAACUAACCAGGAUUCCCUCAGUAACGGCGAGUGAAGCGGGAACAGCUCACCAUGAGAAUCUGAAAGGUUUUGCCUUUCCGAGUUGUAGUCUCUAGAAGCGCAGCCAGCAGACGGAGAGGGUUAAGUCCCUUGGAACAGGGCGCCUGAGAGGGUGACAGUCCCGUUCAUACUCUCUCCAUUCUGCGUACGGCGUGCUCUCAGUGAGUCGAGUUGCUUGGGAUUGCAGCUCAAAGUGGGUGGUAAAUUCCAUCUAAGGCUAAAUAUGGGUGGGAGACCGAUAGCGAACAAGUACUGUGAAGGAAAGAUGCAAAGAACUUUGAAAAGAGAGUUAAAGAGUGCCUGAAAUUGCUGAAAGGGAAGGAAAGGAAGUCAGUGUGAUUCUCUGUCAUUUUCCCAUUCGCCUUCGGGAGAGUGGCCGUGGCAGGGAGUUGGUCAGGAUGGGUUCGAGCUGCGAGAUUAGGGUGUGGGGAAGGUUGGUCGCACCUCGGUGUGAUCGUUAUAUCCCCGCAUUCCUGUCGUAGCGUCGGACCGAGGUCAACUGUGCGCUUUGCUGCGCCUUCGGGUGCAUGCACAGUCUGGAUCCUGACGAAAUGGCUUUCUUUCACCCGUCUUGAAACACGGACCAAGGAGUCUAACAUAUAUGCGAGUACAGGGGUGGUAAACCCCGGUGCGCAAUGAAAGUAAAGACCCGCGUACGCGGGUUGAGGUAGGAUCCGUAAGGUGCACUAUCGACCGACCAUGAUCCUUCGGGAGAAAGGUUUGAGUGUGAGCAUACAUGUUGGGACCCGAAAGAUGGUGAACUAUGCCUGAGUAGGGCGAAGCCAGGGGAAACUCUGGUGGAGGCUCGUAGCGAUUGUGACGUGCAAAUCCAUCGUGGAAUUUGGGUAUAGGGGCGAAAGACUAAUCGAACCAUCUAGUAGCUGGUUCCCUC
rnacentral:misc_RNA from 1 species